UCACUUUUGAUUAAAUAAAUAAUAAUCAUUUGCAUUUAACAAUAUGAAACAUCUUUCCCCCUCAAAAAAAUAAAUAAAUAUGAAACAUCUUCUUUCAUAUACUUUUUGGCUUGUUCAAAAAAAAUCUUCUUUCAUAUACUCCAUUGUAAACAGUAAGCAACAUCAAGUCUGACAGUGAUGCUCAGUAAAACAGCUAACAAAGAAACACGACCAUACUUCAAUGUAACCUCUUCAUUCUUCUCUCAAUCGUGUCCCUUUGCGCAAAUUCCUCUUGGAUUUCCCAAUUUUGCACCAAAAAUUUGCUACCGAUCCAAUUUAAAGUUGAAUUUUGAUUGCACAAAAUUGCACGCCAUGUUAAUCCAAAAUAAUAGAAAUAAGUCAGGCUGCUAAUAAUAUAUAAUAAAAUCAUAGUUUUUUUUAUAAGCAUAUUCAUAGAAAUUAUAUAAACUAACCAUUCAUGAAAAGUAAAGGGCGGAAUAUGGCAUCCUCGAGAAUUGGAUUGAAGAAUGAAAGGAAAAAAAAA
rnacentral:lncRNA from 1 species